AGGAGGAGAUGUUAACGGCAAAAAUGAAAAAGGUGCGACUCCAUUGCAUAGAGCAGCCUAUAAAGGGCACACAUCGGUGGUGACGGCGCUUGUGACUCGAGGGGCGACUGUGAACGAAAUUGCCAACCUUGGGUUUACUCCGUUACACUUCGCAGCCCAAGAAGGUCACGAGGCGGCGGCCGAGGAGCUCAUCGUCAAGGGCGCCGAUGUGAACGCAAAGGACGAGAUGGUGAGGCAA